GCCCUCGUAGAUCAGUGGCAGAUCCUCCACAUUCAUUAUGGAACAUCUCCAAGAGUUAUGUGGACGAUGCGGGUUCGAUUCCCGCCGAGGGCG